AAUAAGUGCAGUUUUGUAUUAUUCACGUUUCGUCUUAUUUGAAAAAAAAUUAUGAUUAGUAUUUUUAUUGCUAUUAGAUGAUAAAACAUAAAUAGUACUUUAUGUGUGACUAAAUAUUUUUAAAUUUUUUAUAAAUUUUUUUAGUAAGACGAACGGUCAAACGUUGGGCACGGAUAUCCACGGCUGCUUUAGGA
rnacentral:pre_miRNA from 1 species